rnacentral:rRNA from 1 species
UUCGGUGGCAAUAGCGGAGAGGCGACACCCGUUCCCAUCCCGAACACGGAAGUUAAGCUCUUCAGCGCCGAUGGUACUGCACGGGAAGCUGUGUGGGAGAGUAGGUCGCCGCCGAAA